rnacentral:rRNA from 1 species
GACGAACGCUGGCGGCGUGCCUAAUACAUGCAAGUUGAGCGCUGAAGGUUGGUACUUGUACCAACUGGAUGAGCAGCGAACGGGUGAGUAACGCGUGGGGAAUCUGCCUUUGAGCGGGGGACAACAUUUGGAAACGAAUGCUAAUACCGCAUAAAAACUUUAAACACAAGUUUUAAGUUUGAAAGAUGCAAUUGCAUCACUCAAAGAUGAUCCCGCGGUGUAUUAGCUAGUUGGUGAGGUAAAGGCUCACCAAGGCGAUGAUACAUAGCCGACCUGAGAGGGUGAUCGGCCAAAUUGGGACUGAGACACGGCCCAAACUCCUACGGGAGGCAGCAGUAGGGAAUCUUCGGGAAUGGACGAAAGUCUGACCGAGCAACGCCGCGUGAGUGAAGAAGGUUUUCGGAUCGUAAAACUCUGUUGGUAGAGAAGAACGUUGGUGGGAGUGGAAAGCUCAUCAAGUGACGGUAACUACCCAGAAAGGGACGGCUAACUACGUG